UUGCUUCUUUGCUGACGAGUGGCGGACGGGUGAGUAAUGUCUGGGAAACUGCCUGAUGGAGGGGGAUAACUACUGGAAACGGUAGCUAAUACCGCAUAACGUCGCAAGACCAAAGAGGGGGACCUUCGGGCCUCUUGCCAUCGGAUGUGCCCAGAUGGGAUUAGCUAGUAGGUGGGGUAACGGCUCACCUAGGCGACGAUCCCUAGCUGGUCUGAGAGGAUGACCAGCCACACUGGAACUGAGACACGGUCCAGACUCCUACGGGAGGCAGCAGUGGGGAAUAUUGCACAAUGGGCGCAAGCCUGAUGCAGCCAUGCCGCGUGUAUGAAGAAGGCCUUCGGGUUGUAAAGUAC
rnacentral:rRNA from 1 species